rnacentral:lncRNA from 1 species
UAAUCAUCGCUUAAUCUUUAUUUUUUUGCUAGGUGCUAAAUUUAUCCAACUUAGCCGUCUGACUAAAGUUUAACGCCUAGGAAUUUCUUAAACAUUGUCCAUAACUAAUUAAAACUAAUUUUUGUAUGAUAUUCUUUCCCAACCCUCUUCGGCCUUUGAGCGGCAUUCUCUCCCAAAGCAGUUUGCCCUAGCCGCCGUCUAAAAAAAUUUCACCGUUUCCCUCUCCGGUCUCCGGCUCUUCGCCAAUGCUGUGAGAGGGGUUUUCUCUUUUAUUUCCUUUCUGCUGGUUUUCGGUUUCGGGUGUGGUUUGGUGCGGAGUUUCGGGUUUCAACGGCGCUUGGUGAACUUGAUUUUCCGGUGGCUCGGUGAGGUGGCUUUUCUUGAGUGGUGCGGCUUGUAUGCUGGUGGCUUAUCUUCCUCCUUCUCUCAGAUCUGCUUUGAGGACGGCGGUCUUUGUUCGGGGUGGGAGAGUGCGGCGGCUCAUCGUGUUCUCUCAGGGGGGGCUUCUCCGUGGGUGUUGGUUGUCUCCGGUUCUGGUUGAGGUAAGAUGCGGCGCUUGUUUAGGAUCUUGUAGGUGGUGUUUCUCGGAUGUUGGUCUCAGAUUCGUGGCUUUCUCGAGGAAAACAGUCAGAUCUGAUCUCAAUAUUCCGGCGGUUUUCACCCGUGUCUCUCCUCGGCCCCUGUUUGUGUGGAGUGGCGUCGUCUUUCUCCCUCAGUUUUCGGCCUGCCUCAUUUAUUUGUCUCCUCAGCUCUCCUCCUUUCCGUCUUUAGUCACGCCCUAUGUUCUAUGUGUGUCUGUACUUCCUUGGUCAGUUAGCCUCUCGGAUUGGUUGUUUGGUUCCUGUUUUGAGAGUGAUUGGUUUUGCGAGAAGAGUGUUCGAUGUCUGCUUUCUAGGUUUUGAAGGUGUUGCGGCUCUGGUUUGUUUUCUCACCGGCUGUGACAGCUCUGGUUCUUUUCUCACCAGCUGUGGCCUGAAGACGUUUGUAUGUGGUCUCCGACUCUCAAUUCUCCUAAUCGGUGUUCAAUCUGCCUGAAGUUUCGUGGUCCUUGUUCGGCCGGAUUUCGUUCUCUUUGUUUUGGGCGAAUCUUUUGCUUUCAGAGUUUAUGUUCGUAUGUUCAAAAUCUUGUUUGUACUAUUCGUUUGUGUUUUCUUCCUUCAGAUUCGUUUUCUUUUUCUUGUUGUUCUUAUUUUCUUUUUUGCAAUCGUUGUUACUCCUUUUAAUUAAUGAAGACUCUUUAACCAAAAAAACUAACCAAAACUAAUCCACUAUCUGCGAAUUGGCGGGAGACUAGUUUUCAUGUUUGAAGUUUUACCUCCAAUAUGGGUCAUCUGAUUAUUUUCCAUAAGGAUUUAUGUAUUAUUAUGCCAUUAAUUUAUAUAAAAUAAAAAUGUUUAGAUAUAUGAUUUUAAUAUAUUUUUAAAAAUACAUAAAUGCGCACUGCUCAUUACAGUGCACGAUAGCAUAAAGUACUAUUUGCAAAUUAGCAUCGUUUACUUUCACUGGAGAAAAAAAAUUACUUAACCAAUCCAAAAAAAAAAAAACAAAAACAAAUCCUAUUUUUAUUUAUCGUUAAUUCCCUAAAUUUUCGAUUUCCGAUUUUCGAUUUCCGAUCGACGGCAAAUCUCGAGAUUUUUUUUCCGCCGGCAAAUUCAUUCGCGAUGUGUGAAUCCAAGAGUGUUGUACAACUUUCACUUCAUCGGAAACCCUAAUUUCAGUGUAGUGGAUCUACAAUUUCUUUGUGAUUUAGGCUUGAUCUGCUCUAGCUCUGGAGGAAGAAUCUCAAUUGAUAGAUUUUACAGCAUUUUUUCCAUCUUCUGCACAUAAACAAGUAAGAUCUCUAGCUUAAUCUCAUUUUCUCUUGAUGAAAUCGACAUUUUACUGUUUUCCGAUUGUGGAUUAUUAGGUUUUUAGAUAUUAGCGAACUCAAAGUAGCUUUUAAUGUAUCUGGUUUUGUUUUGUUGAAGUUAGUACCUUACAUUUGACGCCAUAUCUGUUUCAACUGAUAGUUUUGUCCGAAAACGGAGAGAAAUUUAAGUUUUUUUUUUACUUCAAGAUGCGUAAAUUCUCAAAUCUACUCGACGGUUUUUUGUAAAUUCUGGUAGAUUUUCUUUCUAUGUGAAGGUUUGAGAUUAAUCUUGAUAUUAUCAAAGCUGAUUCUAGUUCAAGUUUGAACAAAGCAUUGUUCUUUAAUAUUUUGCUGUUUGGUGUCAGAAUGUUGUCUUUUGACCUCUUUGGUUGAGUAUUGGGUUAUGUUGUAGUGACUGAAGAAGAUUAUGAUUCUACUCUGGUGAAUUGUUGCAGAUGAUGAUGUUUAUGGUGCUUGUAAGUGGACAACUUUCUGCGAUUUAGGAACAGUAUUUAUUUUCCUUUUGAAGAACUGUUGGUGGUGAGAAUUGACCUGAUUCUACAUGGAAGCAUACAGAGAAGAGGCUCUCAGAGCGAAGCAGAUCGCUGAGAGAAGAUUCGCAGAAAAAGAUUUUACUGGCGCGAGGAGCUAUGCAUUGAGAGCGAGGUCACUGUUUCCAGAUUUGGAAGGUUUAUCUCAGAUGCUUACAACGUACGAAGUUUAUAUAGCUUCUCAUGGCAAACGCAGCGGUGAAAUCGAUUACUACGCGGUUCUUGGACUAAAACCAUCAGCUGGGAAAAGAGAAGUGAAAAAACAGUUUAAGAAGAUGGCUGUAUUGCUCCACCCAGACAAGAACAAAUGUCUUGGAGCUAACGGGGCUUUCCAGAUCAUAUCAGAAGCAUGGUCGUUCCUGUCUAACGAGUUUAAGAAAAGCACUUUUUAUUACAAAAGAAAGAAACUUAUUGACUCCAUGGUGGUACAGAAAACCAGCACAGAGUAUGUCCCUGAGACAAACGCAGGAUUCGAUUGUUGUCCUCCACCAGCUUCAGAAAGACUUGAUACUUUCUGGACUGUAUGCACCUCUUGCAAAGUUCAGUAUGAGUAUCUGCGGAAGUAUGUGAAUAAGCGUCUUUCGUGUAAGAACUGCAGAGGAGCAUUUAUCGCUGUGGAGACUGGACCGGCUCCUAUUAGUACAUCGAUUCAAUAUGCUCCUCCUCCUCAUAAUACAACAAGUAAUGGCUAUGGAGGUCAUGGCUAUGAUGCUGUCUCACGAAUGCCUACCAAUUCAACUUAUUUCUUAGGUCAGUAUCCUGCACAUGGAUAUGAAUAUGUUACCAAUGAGUCAUAUGACUGGAACUCAUACGUGGGAACAUCUCCUGGGAGUCUGGAGUCAAACCGCAUGUCUUCAGUGUCCAAUGGAUAUCCUUAUAAGGUCACCAAUGGAGUCGUCUGUAAGGGAAGAAAGAAAGUUAAGGAAGGCUAUAACAGGACAAGCUCGGUGAAAAGUACAGCCUCUGAUAUGAUAUAUCCGAGGCCAUCCAAUUGGUCUGCUGACCCUUCCGUGAUUAAGGCCAGUAGACCUGAGAAGAAGAGGAAUGUUGGUUUGGGGUCAUCUGGUAAUGGAUUUGUUGAGAACACUGCAAAAUCUAAUCCUGAAUCGAAAGCAGCAAAUCUGGAUGGAAACAUGGAACAUGAGUUUAAACAUCCUGGCCAAACUUAUGGUUCAAAUAGACGGUGGUCUGCUGCAACAGGAUUGGAUACGCGGAAACUACUGAUCAACAAAGCUAAAACACAUAUCCAGCAAAGACUAGAGAUGAUGAGAUUGGCUUCAGUGGCAGCAGCAGCGGUGGUUACAGAAGACGUGACUCCCAUUGAUGAAAUAAAUGCCUUCUCCAAGGUAGGAGAUGAAGUAUCCAAAAUAGGAAGUUGUGUUCAAUCUAUUCGGAAAAUACACGGACCAAUAACAGUUCCAGACUCCGACUUCCAUGACUUUGAUAAAAACAGAUCGGAAGAGUGCUUUGAGGCUAGGCAAAUAUGGGCAAUCUAUGAUGAAGAUGAUGGUAUGCCACGGUUAUAUUGCGUAAUCCGGGAAGUACUCUCGGUUCAACCUUUUAAGAUUGACAUAGCCUACUUGAGCUCCAAAACCGACAUCGAGUUUGGUACGAUGAAAUGGGUGCAGUACGGUUUUACAAAGUCUUGCGGACAUUUCAGGAUACGGAACACUGACAUAGUUGACCACGUUAACAUAUUCUCCCAUCUACUUAAAGACAAGAAGACAGGAAGAGGUGGUUGUGUUAGAAUAUUCCCCAAAACCGGAGAGAUUUGGGCCGUGUACAAGAACUGGUCACCAAACUGGAACAACUCAACACCAGAUGAAGUGAGGCACCAGUACGAAAUGGUUGAGAUCCUUGAUGAGUACUCUGAACAGUUUGGUGUUUGCAUCGCCACGCUUGUGAAAGUAGAUGGCUACAAAACCGUUUAUUGCAGGAGAGAGGAAGAGAGUAGAAAAUGGAUACCGAGGAGAGAGAUGCUGCGGUUUUCGCAUCAAGUGCCAUCUUGGUUUCUAAAAGAAGAAACUAGCGGUGUGCCUGGAAACUGUUGGGACUUGGACCCAGCUGCUAUACCUGAGGAGUUGCUUCAAACUGGAGCAGGAACUGAUUAAUAUUAUAUCAUUUACUGUUUGCUGCAAGAGACAGAAGAGUAAGAGCUUUAUUUAUAUCCAUGUAACGGUUUUUAACUCAGUGUAGAAAAACCAAACACUUUAUAUCCACAAGAUUUCUGGAUUAUUAUGUCAGGAACUAUAUACACGCAAGCCUCUGUUUGUUCAUUGGAGCUGUUGUAUUAGCAACGUUGAAGAAUCAUUAGUUUGACUUGUUACUUGUUUUUACGAUUCUGUUUUCCUUUUUUCUUUGUUAAGCUUUAGUAUAAAAAAUUGUUGCCAAUCUUAUCAUUUUGGCUUUUGUUAUUCCCUCUUGCUUCGUAUGGCUAAAGCUACAUGUGAAUUACUCUGGUCUCAUCAGUUCGAUCUCAAUGAUAUGUGUUGCAGAUCAAGCAAAACUUUUAAGUGACAACAAGUCUGCAUAUUUAUGACUGCACAUUGUGAAUUCAUGUGAUAAGCUCAAUUAUAGUAAACCACUAACCACCUUUUUGAUCAUUUACCAACAAUUUAGCUUUUCAAAUAACUCGUUUUAUGAAAUGAAAAAACAGUCUUAGCUUAGGUUUUUUUAACUUGGUGACUCCAUAUCAAACAUUCGUAGAUUAUGUGAAUCAUGAUUAACACACUUUUAAUCAGUUAUGAGUUCGUUAGAUCAGUUAAUUAAUCAAUAAAUAAAUUUACACAUCAAUGAGAAAACCACUUCUUCUCCCCUUUAAAGAAAAGAGAACACUUCAUUUGUUUUAAUUAUCCUCUCUUCUUUGUUUUGGUUCUUCAUUAGGUGUUUGUAAUUUUGAUAUGGUAUCAACCUGAAACAUCCCUGUAUUAUAGAAACGACGUGGGAUAUAUAUUCUAUGUGGUUAGAUGUCAUUGGAACUUUUUUGUCAAAUUUCGGAAACAUUAUAGAAUCUUGGUUUUUAGACAAAAUAAUAAGCAAAAUAAUUAGCUUUUAAAAUUCGGAGAAGGAUAGUAAAAUAUUUCUAGCAAAUUCAACUGAUGAUAGAAAUAUAUGUGAGUUUAUAUGAUCCGAACAAGCAAGAACCAAACUUCUAUUUUUAUUUUUAAAAUAGAGUAACUCAAAAAUGAAGUUAAAUAGAUAUCUUCAUUUUAUACUUUAAAAAGAAUUGUUUAGAUGAUUCUGGGUUCUUCUUUUGGGGUAAAUUUUAUUCAAAACUGAAAAACACGUAAAAACCCGGAAAAUAUAAUGGAGAUAUGUUUUCCGAAAGUUCUCCGACGCUCAAGUCAAAAAAGAACCAAAAAAACUAUUAAGUGGCUAAUCGGAAAAUAGAAAGAGAUCCGAAAACUAAAGAAGGAAAAUGGGCCGAGUGUUCCUGUGAAUGGUAGAAUCUACUCGGACCUUUAGCGGUGAUGGGCUUUUUGUAGUGAAAAGACAAAAAGAGAAGAGUUUGUUGGUGGAAAAUCUCCACGACUUAGGGACCAACAUGGAAAGGAAGUAAGGAGAUGGUCAGAAUAAUGACCGGAAAGUAUAAAGUGCUAGCCUAUAAGACUCACAAGUAUCUAUAGAGAUAUUAUGAACUUUAGGAUAGCUAAAAAAUGUGUUCCCCUCCCCCUUCCCACCCCUUUUAAUUUGGAUGGGAUAAAGUAUUUAUAGGAUUUUACUUGACCCGGGUUAUUAUACCAGAUCAAUCCGUGGAUAGUGAAUCAGGUGGGUCGGUCCAUGAUCUGACUUGACUGUGUUUGAAUCUUGCGCUUGCGUCAUACUUCUAACGGUCUCACCAAAUUUUCUUGGCAUGUUCUGCCUGUUAUGAGACCGCUCCUUGGUGCGUCCCUUUCACCGUUAGUGUGGUUGGCGGUUCAAGCGCGAUAUGGCUCUUGCUGAACCUUUGCUUUUCCCUCUGGUUCCUGCGAAAGAUCAUUGUCGCCUGACACACGUAAGAAAGAUGCAUUAAAUGCCAAUCUAGUGGGUUUGUAAGGGUAUAGGUAACUAAACAGACUAAAGCAUAUUCCUAUUGUCGAAUGGAGGGAAAUUUAGAUAAUGUUUCCCGCUUAUGGAUUCACUUAUACCUGGCUCGGAUCCCCCGAUACUGGGACCGGGCUGCCGAGAUUAUUUAGAUGGAUGAUUCCGCUCUCCAGGUACUUAUGCGGACUACUCUUCCUUAUAUCUCAAACCUUCUGAAUCACUGAGCUUAGGUCUAGGACAUAAAGAAAGUGAAAUCUUAUCUUCCUGACCAUUCAGUUUCUGAUCUCCUUGUGUCUGACAGCGUGGACUACGCUGUCAGAUACGAAGAACCCGGGAACAAGUGGUCUAUCGUGUCGGAUCUCCCGAAUCCGAAUGGAUUCGAGACUCGAUGCUAUAUGCUUAGGUUGUAUUGGGCUUACAGCCAAUAUGAAUCCUAAUUUAGCCCAUGGGGGCGUAUCUGCAAAAAAGCCAUGACGCCAUGUGCAAGCACAUGAUUCAUCCACGUAAGAAGGAUCAAAUUUAUCUCCAAUUUUGCCCCCACAUCACGGAAUUUAUCCUUGCUGGGACCAAAUUCUUACCCCCCUCAUUAGACGUACCUGACUGGACAUCCUGCCUGAAGCGCGUAACGCUUUUUCGAUGAAGGACGCGUUGUCUGAGUCACCCUGUGACUUGAGGCGUGUGACGCCUUUUCGAUGAAGGACACAAAUGCAUGAGUCAUCAUCCGUGGACAGCAUGACCUGGGACUGGGAGCCCAAAUGGAGGACGCGUUACCUGAGUUGAAAACCGUGGAUGAAAUGACCUAGGACCAUGGGCCGCGAAGAACACGAUACCUGAGUUACCUGUCCGCGGGCUCGUAACAUGAAGGACACAUGGCCUGGCCGUCAAUCAGGUCCCAAAGGGGGUGCUGCCCUGCCAAUCCAGCAAUAUUUCGUGGCCGAUCCCUUAGAGAUAUUCGGUUCUCUAAAAGAGAGCCGUCAACCACAAAGCACACUGAAAUUGGCAAACCGAUCCGCAAAGGGAGCCAGUCUUAGGCUGCGUGAUGCAAUUCCAAUUAGGUUCUUAGUGGACAUUUAUACUGUCUGCAGAGCGCAUGCCCCUAGAUGGUCCGGUUAAAGGGUGCCAUUCCAGGGAUGCGGCAUCAACAGACAUGCUAACCUUCCACUGCACUGGUCUUGUCAGGGUAAACAUCCCGAAUGUCGUAACCAAUUAUUUUUAAGACAGUCGGAGAGGCAUACUCGAUGGAGACAGUUGAGACGGAGAACUUUGUCUUCUAUUAUUUCGGUUAAUUCAUGUCCUUCAAUUCUUUUCCUUUUUUUUCUUUUGCGAAGGGGGGAGGCUUUACAUCUUCUCCUCAACUCCGGGCUCGUCUCCUCCAUCUCCUCGCUGGGACUUCACUCCGUUGUCUCUUCAUAUGCGCCUCUCCGGGGAUCUUCUCAUCUCCCUGGAGUGGUCUUCUUUCCUUGGGGUUCGGCUUCUUUCAGAAAUUUUUUUUUGUAAGAAAAUCUUUCUUCUCCUUUGGGCUUGCUGCCGUUGCCGGAUUAUAGUUAGGCUGAGUUUUUCAGGGUUUUUGGUUUUUAGGCCUUUUGGAAUUUGCUCCAUGGGUUUGCGAUUGGGCGCAUCAUUGUUGGGCUUGUCGACCUUUUGCUGCUAAACUUCCUCUGAGGAGAGCUUCCCUGACCUGGGCUAUUUGCGACCGCGUGUCGAGAUCUCACUGCGCAUCGUCUGCUCCCCGAUGCCUUCAGGCUGUUUCCUUACUCCCAUAAUUAUGGUCCGCGCAUGUCUUACAUGUGUCUUAUCGCCCGCGACAUUCCCAUUAAACCCUCAGAGAGUGCCCUCUCUUCGUCGUUUUGUCUUUCCCCUUAUGCUUUUUGCUCUCCUUCAUAAUCUUUGCCGUGCCUCCCUUCAGUCUUUGUGGAUCCAAUUUCUCUCUUUAUUUCCCGAUAGAUACAUCUCCCUACUUCUCCUCUCGCUUUCGUGAGAGCGCCUUCUAGGAUAUAGUCAUGGAGUGGGUCGAAUCCGUUAUUCUUGAGAAUGAUAUCGACCUUUCCGCCAUGGCAGAUACCCUUGGUUCCCGCCUCAGGAUUUUACCGCGAACCAUGUCUCUGUUUUCAGGAUCGAGUUUCGGUCCCAGGCCUGCUGGGUGAUGGCGGAGGUUUGUCGAUCUGCUUCCCUAGCCCUGAGCCAGUUCACCACCCAGGCUUGGGGUCUGAUCUAUUCUCUCCAGGUUCUCUCUGACUUGUCUGGGGGAGAACAUCUUUGGCGAGAUUGUUCUGGGUGCUCCAGGAUCCCGCGGAUACGACUUAGUCCCUAUCCGGGACUUGGAGACACUGGUGCUCCCCCCAAUGUGGCUCUCUUCUUCUGCUGCUGUCGACGAUUUCCUAGAGGCCCUUCUGACUUCCCGUUUGACUGGUCUCCACUGGGUAAGGGUUUUUUCUCUUUGUUUCUUAUCCCAUCUUCCGCCGAAUUCGACGGCUCUCUCUCAUUGGCUUCCGCUCUUGCAGGGUCAGAUCCGGUGUCUAGGUCCUCGUAUCCUUUUCUCCAGGAGUGUCUCCGCCAGAUCCCACCACCUCUCCAGAAUCCCGUUUUCCUUCUCCAUCCUGCAGUUGUUGGGGGAACUUCUCUUGGGGCGACGGCGAGUGAUCCUUUUAUCUCUUUAGGUGAGUUGUUGUCAUAUUAAUCACAUUCUCUCUCUCUCUUUUGUCUGUCGUUCUGCUUUAUCCCCCUUAUGCGGGAAAUCUUAUCUUGCAUAUAUUUAGCAGAGGAGUCGGGAUGCUGUCCGUCAACUGGGAACGCUUCAACUCGUUCCUGAUCGAGGUCUCCUGGCUGUUAGAAUAUUUAGAGACUAAGCGGAAUAAAGAGAUUUGAGAGAGUGUGCAAAAGAGAUGAGAGAAAGAGUUCCCAAAGUAGUGUGUUUAUUCAUUCUCGUCUUUGAUACAUAUAUAGAGGAGACAGAAUAGAAACUAGGUUUAGCUAAGCUACAAUACAAAAGAAAGUGGUUAGAGACAUAAGGAAACAUGUGAGUCUUGAGCAUGGAUCCCGAGAGAUAGUGACAGCUCCAACGGUCACAAGACCAAGUGUAAACGACGCGCCAAGGGGGGACCAUUGUACGGACACCAACUCUCUUCUUCCUUAAACAUCACACGUGAUCCCUUGAGCCUUCUCUCCUUAUUAAAGGCUAACACCGAUUCAAGCCCUAAAGCAUAGAACCUUUCUUGACCAAUACUCCCCCUCAAGCUUAGCCAUCGAAGUUGUUUAGAUUGCUAAGCUUGAAGACCCAUGAGCAUCACCUCAUUAAAAACCUUAACAAGGAAAACCUCAUGGGACAAAACCUUGUUAAGGGAAAAAGAGUGUGAUGUCCAUGGAUCAAGGACUAUGAUCAAGGGCGACUAAGGUCCACAAGUCCUAGCUUGCUAAAGAGAUUGUUGCAAACUUUAAGACUUGCGGCCUUAGUGAAAAUAUCAGCCAACUGGUCUUCACUUCUUGUGUAACACGGUAACACCACACCUUCCUCAAUCUUCUCACGGACCUUGUGGCAAUCUAUUUCAAUAGACUUUGUUCUCUCAUGAAACACCGAGUUUGUUGCAAUGUGUAUAGCAGCUUGGUUAUCACAAUGCAUUGUAAUCGGACCUUCUUGCUCAAUGCCAAGGUCUUUAAGGAGCGCCUUAAGCCAGGUUAAUUCACUUGUAAGCUUCCUCAUUGCCCUAUAUUCAGCUUCUGCGGUUGAGCAUGAGACCACCUUUUGCUUCUUAGUCUUCCAGGUUACAAGAUUUCCACCAAUGAAAGUACAAUACCCACUUGUUGACUUUCUAUCAACACGAUCACCAGCCCAAUCUGAGUCGCAAUAUCCCACAAUCUCUGUAUUAUUGUUCUUUCCCAUCCAAAUGCCUUGUCCUGGACUCCCUUUGAGGUAUCUGAGAAUUCUUUCCACCAUACCCCAAUGAUACACUGUCGGAGCUUGCAUAUGUUGGAUUACUUGAUUCACGGCGAAGCAGAGAUAUGGCCUUGUGAGAGUGAGAUAGAUCUGUUUGCCAACAAGUCGUCGAUACCUAAAUACAUCCUUGAAGGCUUCAUCUGAUUUCUCCCCCUUUCGAUUGACUUUGUAGCCCUCUUCAAGCGGCGUUUUGGCUGGUUUAGCUCCAAGUUUUCCUGUCUCUUUGAGAAGAUCAACUGUGUAUUUCCUCUGAGACAGAAAGAGACCCUCAGGAGACCUACACACCUCAAUGCCAAGGAAAUACUUGAGCUCGCCGAGGUCUUUAAUGUCGAAUACCGAGUUAAGAAAGGCUUUUGUAGACUGAAUUCCCUCCUUGUCAUCUCCAGAAAUGAUAAGAUCGUCUACAUAAACAAGAACAACCACCAGACCUUGAGAACUUUGGAGGGUAAACAAAGUAUGAUCCGAGUGAGACUUCUUGAACCCCUUUUCCAUCAGAGUGGUACUAAGCUUGUUAUACCAGGCUCUUGGAGAUUGUUUCAAUCCAUAUAUAGCUUUCCUCAAUCUCAAAACGUUACCGGGUGCAACAAUAUCCUCUAAGCCUGGAGGAGGGGUCAUAUACACUUCUUCCUGAAGUUCCCCUUGAAGGAAUGCAUUUUUCACAUCCAUUUGCCACAGAUCCCACGAGAGAUUAGUAGCGAGUGAGAGGACUACUCUUACAGUAUGGAGCUUGGCAACCGGAGCAAACGUGUCUGUAUAAUCUUCUCCAAAGGUCUGAGUGAACCCUCUUGCAACCAACCGAGCCUUGUAUCUCUCAAUUUCACCGUUACUCUUAUACUUGAUAGUGAAAACCCACUUUGAGCUCACAGCUCGCUUCCCUGGUGGUAACUCGGCUUCAUCCCAAGUAUGGUUGCGCUCCAUAGCUCCUCUCUCGUCACCUAUAGCUUCAAUCCACUCCUUCUUGUCUUUAGCUUCUUCAUAGCUUUGAGGAAUUUCGUGUUCCUCAAUUUUUCCCAUGAACGCUUGAUGAUCAGAGGGCAACAAGGCAAGAGAACAAACAGCCUGAAUUGGAUGAGCUACAGCUUGACUAUUGUAGUAGACUCUGGUGUUCUUGCUGAGCCUAGUACUUCUUCUUAAUGGCUGAACAGGUUCCUCUACAAUACAAUUAGAUGGAUCCUUGAUGAGCCUAGUACUUCUUCUUAAUGGCUGAACAGGUUCCUCUACAACCGCCUCUCCUUGUUCUUGUGGGACUGAUUCCUCUGCCUCCACUUCUAAGUCAUCUGGAGUUGGCUCUUGACUCUGCUCCUCUUCUUAAUUUACUUCUGAACUCAAUGGUACCGGCUCAGCUUCUUCUUGAGUACUUGUAGGAACCGGCUUAUGCACUUGCUUGGGCAGGACUGGGUUCCCAAGGUGAUCCAGCAAGAACCGCAGACUGGUAGCGAGAUCUGAUGGGGAGCUUGACAGGUCUUUGAGACUCUCCCAAUUCUUCUUGUCAUAGUAUCCCUGGUUCUCAAGAAAUUUGACCUCCCUGGACACAUAAGUGCGGCUAUUAACAGGAUCAUAGCACUUGUACCCCUUCUGAGUUGUUGAAUACCCAAGGAAUAUACACUUUAUGCUUUUGGCCUCAAGUUUGUUUCUCUGUUCACCUGGAACAAACACAAAACAAACACACCCAAAAACACGUAAGUGAUCUAAUGAGGGUUUAGUUUUGUUAAGUACCUCAAAUGGUGAUGAGUCUUGUAAGAAUUUUGUUGGGGUCCGGUUAAUGAGAUAGCAUGCGGCUAAGACAGCAUCUCCCCAAAAACGUUUAGGCACAUUUGUAUGGAACAUCAUCGACCUGGCCACCUCCAUUAAAUGUCUAUUCUUCCUCUCAGCAACUCCAUUUUGUUGUGGAGUGUAAGGGCAACUGGUUUGGUGUAAGAUGCCAUGCUUUGCUAGAUGUUCUUUGAAUCUUUGACUUGUAUACUCACCGCCAUUAUCUGAUCUAAGAAUCUUAAUCUUGGCAUUAAAAUGAUUAGUCACAUAAUUUUGAAAGUUUGUGAAUGCUUCAAAUACACAGUCUUUAGAGGGAAGUAAAGUUAUCCAGGUAUAUUUUGAUUUUUCAUCAAUGAAGGUCACAAAGUAUUUAUUACUAUCCCUAGACAUGCAAGGUGAAGUCCACACAUCAGAAUGAACCAAGUCAAAGCAAUGUUCAUAAAUAGUAGAUGAUUUAGGGAAAAUAACUCGACAAUGUUUACCAAGAAUACAAGAUUCACAACUUGUGUGAUCAAAAGCAACAUCAGGUAACAUUAAUUCAAGAGCACGCGAGUGAGGGUGACCUAAUCUAGCAUGCCAAAUAGAGUUCAAACUUGCAGAAAAACAUGAAUUAAAAGAGAAAGCAUUUGAGUCGCUUGGUGAAGAAUCCUCGAGAACAUAUAGAUCAUCUUUGGUUCCCCCUUUUCCAAGUACCUUCCCAUUCUUAAUAUCCUGAAAGUGAACAUCAUUAGGACCAAAUAUCGCAUAACAGUCUAAGUCCUUGGUAGCUCUACUAACCGAUAAUAAGUUAGAAGUGAACUUAGGCACAAACAAUGCUUUACUAUCUUUAUCAAAUAACUUUAGGUUACCAGUUCCUUCUAUGGGAAUUCCAUCACCAUUAGCUAUCACAACAUUUCCUAAAGCCGGUUUUAUGUUGUUUAACAGUUCAGGGUUACUAAUCAUAUGAUGAGAUACACCUGAAUCGACAACUAAAGCGGUUUUAGGUUUAUUAGAGAAGAAGGUGAUACCAGACUGUUUUGCGGCUAAGGCUUUGAUAAGAGCCUCAAGGUCGGUCUUUCUCACAAACUCAGUCGAGACAUUCAUGGCACCAUCUCCACCUUGUGUCAAUGCACCGGCUCCUUCUUGAGCAAAGCUAGCUCUUGCAUCCUUGAACUUGCUCGGCUUCAGGUGAGGAUGAAGAAUCCAACAUUUAUCUUUGAUGUGACCCUUCUUCUUGCAAUGGUCACAGAUCCAUGGCUUCCUGUCAUCGGGUUUAAAGACACCUUUGUUGGCCGAGAUGAGCUCUUGCUUCUUGAAGAGACCAAUAGAACCUUGCUCCUUUUGGAUACUUGCACAAACGUCUUCAAGGCUUGGGAGCUUAUCCUCUCUCAAAAUGUGCUUGAUGAGGUCGUUGAAGAUGGGGUUUAGCGUGAGAAGAAGUCCAAAGACUUUGUCUUGCUCUCGCCUUUCAUUGAGAACUUUAGGAUCCAAAGUGCUCGGCCUCAGCAUCUCUAGCUCAGCCCACAAAGAUCUGAACUUCCCAAAGUGAGCUUUGAACUCCAUGUCUUCCUGGCUCAGGUCAUUAAUCGCCUUCUUGACUUCAAAGACUCUGCUCAGGUUUGUAUCAUUACCGAACACAUUCUUGAGAGUUUCCCACAGAGAUUUUGCUGUCUCACAGUAGGAGUAAGCUUCAAGAAUCGUCGGCUCAAGGGAGUUUUGAAUGAUGCCAAGCACGGUCUGGUCUUCUUGGAACCAUUUUGCUUCCACAGCUUUGGCUUCUUCAUCCUUCUUUCCGUCUUUGGUGGCGUCUUCUUCGGGAAUCUGUUCUUCUAAGACGUGAUUCCAAAGCCCUCGUCCACACAACGCCGUCUUUGUGGUUCUAGACCACAACAAGUAGUUUCCUCCUUUGAGGAUAACAGGAAUCACCACCGGUUUUGAGAUCUCGGUGUUUGCAUCGUUUGAACUCAUUUUGUUCUUGAGGGGUUUUGAGAAACAAGAGAAUAAGAGAUGAGCGAACUAGAGAAUGAGAGAUUUAGAGAAUAAGGUUUAAAGAAUAGAGAAAAGAAACUCAGGAAAUCGGAACCAAUCGCUCUGAUACCAUAUUAGAAUAUUUAGAGACUAAGCGGAAUAAAGAGAUUUGAGAGAGUGUGCAAAAGAGAUGAGAGAAAGAGUUCCCAAAGUAGUGUGUUUAUUCAUUCUCGUCUUUGAUACAUAUAUAGAGGAGACAGAAUAGAAACUAGGUUUAGCUAAGCUACAAUACAAAAGAAAGUGGUUAGAGACAUAAGGAAACAUGUGAGUCUUGAGCAUGGAUCCCGAGAGAUAGUGACAGCUCCAACGGUCACAAGACCAAGUGUAAACGACGCGCCAAGGGGGGACCAUUGUACGGACACCAACUCUCUUCUUCCUUAAACAUCACACGUGAUCCCUUGAGCCUUCUCUCCUUAUUAAAGGCUAACACCGAUUCAAGCCCUAAAGCAUAGAACCUUUCUUGACCAAUACUGGCCCUGGCUGUCGAACUCUCCCGGUGUCCAUCGUCCGACGUUGGUCGAUCUGUUAGCCUCUUCCCGGGUUAGUUUCCCCUACUCUGUGUGAUUUUUUGGGUUUUCUUGCCCCUUCUUAUGAACCCCUUCUUCUGCUUCUUUGGUCUUCAGGUCUUCAAACGGUUUCCCCGCUCUCCUCCUUGCUUAGACAGGGAUUCCUUGGAGGCUUCCAGGGGACAGCUUGUGCACCAUCAGAAUUUUAUUGACGAGCAGCGGGGUCGUUUGGGGGCUUCCUACACUUCCUCCCAGUAAGCGCCCGCCGGGUUGACCGCUGCGGCCUCCACGAUGAUCUCUACCCCUCGACCUCAGGAAGCGGCGGCUUGCCGGAGGUUCUGCAUCGCUUUUCUCAUUUUUCUUUUGAACUUCUUAUGUUGCCGAUGCUUGUCGUCACACAUUUCUUUGUGUAUCUGCUCUGCUACAUAUUAUUUGCCUUGAGUAUGUUGGACUUGCACCAUCCUUAUCCUGUGCUUGUGUCCUAUCUCUCUUCUGUAUGUGUAUAUUUUUUAUAGCGCUGUUUGUUUUUGAUUCUUGGAUUUUGAUCUUCCUUGAGAUCUAUUCCCUAUUUCGUACGGGUUCGUCCUUCUCUUCUUUCUUUCUCACCCGUGCCUGGGUUGUUGUGCUCCAGGGACUUUCUUUCUUCCUGUUUCCUUGGGGGCUCCUUUCGACGUCUCAGCCCUGCUAUUGAAGCUCUUACCUCGCUGAUCCAUGGUUUUCCUAGUCGUGCUGAGUACUUUUCUGGUCCCCCUAUCACCCAAAAGGUGGAUAUUUUUGUUAUUUUUCCCCUUCGUAUAGGGAGUGCGAUUUCCUCUGGAAACCCAGAGGCUCGUCCUUACGCUGCUCGAGUCCUCCUUGAGGGGGGGGGGAACGCCUUCCACUCCUUCCUGAUGUCCCCUAAUUUUUCCCGAAAGGUAAGGUUGAAGGGGUAAGUUGGAUCUACCAAAACUUGUUCAACCCACCUUUGGCCUAUCAACAAGGUGAUCAUGACAUCGAACCCUAAGGAUGUUAGUCAUAAAUUGUUCUCCAACGCUUUUGCUUGGGGAGGCUCGUGACCAUACGUACCUUUUCUGCCUUUUACCUUUUCUUGCCUCAGACUCUUUUCAUCUUGUCUAACGCCAUUCGUUCCCCCUACAUCCUUUUCCUGCUUCGUCAGCUUCUUCUGUAAUUUUUCUGACAAUAAAUAUCGCAUGGAGGGGUGAUGAAUCGAGGCGAUCAGCUCUUCUUUGAGGGAGGAGCAGCUGCCGGUACUAUGUCCACCGGACUGAUGAUAUGUCCACCAUGUUUUGAGUCCGUCUGUUGUCGCCAGGUCGUCUCUGCUCACGCCCUCGGUCGAACGCGCGUGCAGCACCCACCCAUCCACCUCUCUCCAUCUCGUGAUCUGCUUGAACGGGGUGUCGGUCAAACGGAUUUAGUGACCGCGUCUCUCCGACCUCCCGCUCGAGUCUUUAGCCAAAUCGAGAUCGUCCUUUUUUGCGGCUCCCGGGUCAUCCCCUCGUCCUUGUUCCUUAUUUCGCUGCCGGAAACCACUUAGCUCAUCCUUUUCCGGGAAGGUGUCGCUCCGCCGGGAUUGAUGUUCUUCCUUGUGAACUUUCUCCAUGUUUGGGUCACCGCCGGUCUUUGUGCGAAUUUCUCCUGUUUGCGUUUCUGGGUUAUUACCCCCAGAUCUGAGUGUUUUAGUGCUUUUUGACUUGAAAAAGGAAUGUUGCCUCGGAGAGUGUUGCCCUUCUCCUUCUAGAGCCAAACUGUUUAGGAGAUUUUUGAUCCUCUUGUGGGGGCAAGUCUCCUGCAAAACCGAAAAACACGUGAAGGCCCAAAAAACAUGAUGGGGUGGUGUGUUUUCUGAUGCUCAAGUCAGAAAACAACCAAAAAGACCACUAAGUGGCUAAUCGAAGAGCUGAAAGAGAUCAGAAAACUAAAGAAUGAAAGUGGGUUGACUGUUCCUGAUAAAGGUGGAAUCAACUCGGAUCUUUAGUGGUGAUGGGCUUUUUGUAGUGAAAAAAAGACAAAGAGGAGUUUGUUGGUGGAAAAGCUCCACGUCUUAGGAACUCCACCAUGGAGAUGAAGUGAAGAGAUGGUCGGAACAAUGACCAAAAAGUAUAAAGUUCUAUCCUCUAAGACUCACAAGUAUCUAGAGAGAUAUUAUGAACUUUAGGAUAGCUAAAACAUGUGUCUCCCCCCCCCCCUCCUUGUUGGAAGGGGUAAAGUAAUUAUAAGAUUUUACCUGAUCUAGAUUAGUAUACCGGGUCGGUCUGCAGAUAGUGAAUCGGGUGGGUCGGUCCACAAUCCGACUUGAAUGGAUUUGAAUCUUGCGCUUGCGUCACACUUCUGAUGGUCUCAUCAAUUUUUUUGGCAUGUUCUGCUUGCUACGAGACCGCUCAUUGGCACGUCCCUUUUGCCCUCAGUGUACGGGUUAGGUCGGCGGUUUAGACACAAUAUGGCUCUCGCUGAACCUCUGCUUUUCCUUCUGGUGCCGUGUAUGUUAUAGAUUUUAUAGUGAUGAAUGGCUAAAUGAGGGUUCCUUAAAACUUAGGUGUGGUAUUUUUUUUUAUACUAUAAAUAUUUAUCUUAUAUUAUUGUUAUCUUAUACUCAUACUGUAUCCAUCAAUUUUAAAUUUACCAUUCCUCGUAUCCGUUCUCAUAACUAUCUAAAGUUUAAUUUUUUAGAAAGUAAGUGACUAAAAUUUUCAAACUUUUAAGCUUGAAAUUGGCAUUUUAGAGAAGAAAGAAUAAGAGAAAAGGAUUCAAUUUUGCCGGGCAAAGAGCCACCAUUUUAUGUGUUUGAUGGCAGCGUCCAGAGCUUGGAGCAACCAGAACAAAUGUUUAAAGUGAAAAUUCCUCAGACUAACUUUUAAGGUUAAUGAAAUGACAAACCUAACCUAACAUAUUGAAGGGCUUACUCGACUAACCUUAUAAAGUUGGUUUAAGUCCAUUUUAUCCAGAUGUUGAAUAUUAUUACGAAAAUGCCAUUAUGAUUUUUUUUUAUAAUUUUUUUUUUCGAAAAAACUUUAAUUUCGAAAAAAACUUUUUAAAAAAUCGAAAUUUUUUUUGACGAAAAAAACAUUUUUUUUAAAACGAGAAAAGCAAAACAAAAAAAACAAAA